CUGCAGAAUAAGCACCGGCUAACUACGCCAGCAGCCGCGGUAAUACGUAGGGUGCAAGCGUUAAUCGGAAUUACUGGGCGUAAAGGGCAGGCGGUUCGGUACAGUGAUGUGAAAUCCCAGAGCUUUAACUUUGGAACUGCAUUUUUAACUACCGAGCUAGAGUGUGUCAGAGGGAGGUGGAAUUCCGCGUGUAGCAGUGAAAUGCGCAGAUAUGCGGAGGAACACCGAUGGCGAAGGCAGCCUCCCUGAUAACACUGACGCUCAUGCACGAAAGAGUGUGGUUAUAAACAGGAUUAGAUACCCUGGUAGUCCACGCCCUAAACGAUGUCAACUAGCUGUUGGGGCCUUCGGGCCUGGUAGCGCAGCUAACGCGUGAAGUUGACCGCCUGGGAGUACGGUCGCAAGAUUAAAACUCAAAGGAACUGGACGGGGACCCGCACAAGCGGUGAUGAUGUGGAUUAAUUCGAUGCAACGCGAAAAACCUUACCUGUCUUUGACAUGUCUGGAAUCCCGAAGAGAUUUGGGGAGUGCUCGCAAGAGAACCGGAACACAGGUGCUGCAUGGCUGUCGUCAGCUCGUGUCGUGAGAUGCUGGGUUGGGUCCCGCAACGAGCGGGCAACCCUUGUCAUUAGUUGCUACGAAAGGGCACUCUAAUGAGACUGCCGGUGACAAACCGGAGGAAGGUGGGAUGACGUCAAGUCCUCAUGGCCCUUAUGGGUAGGGCUUCACACGUCAUACAAUGGUCGGGACAGAGGGUCGCCAACCCGCGAGGGGGAGCCAAUCCCAGAAACCCGAUCGUAGUCCGGAUCGCAGUCUGCAACUCGACUGCGUGAAGCCGGAAUCGCUAGUAAUCGCGGAUCAGCAUGUCGCGGUGAAUACGUUCCCGGGUCUUGUACACACCGCCCGUCACACCAUGGGAGUGGGUUUUACCAGAAGUAGUUAGCCUAACCGUAAGGAGGGCGAUUACCACGGUAGGAUUCAUGACUGGGGUGAAGUCGUAACAAGGUAA
rnacentral:misc_RNA from 1 species